GGUUUUUAAAGUGAGGGAGGAAGGACUGUGCGCUUGGUUGCCAUUGGCCUGCUUGCACUGAUAGCGGCCUAUUGUGGUGGGCUGAGGAGAUGGAAAUGUUGAAGAAUACAAAUUCAAAUGAAAAGCCAUGAGCAGUCACCCAGAGUGGCCACUGGAUUGCUGCUGUCUACGAAUUGAUUAGGCCGCCUCUGAAUGUUCAACAAGUGCUGAGCUCAGGGGGUAGAGCAGUUGCCUUGUAACCGAAAGGUUGCCAGUUCACUGCCAGCUACUCCUAGCUGAGUGUUCAGUUAGGUAGACAUGAACACAACGACUCGGUGUGUCAAUGUGUACCAUCGGUUAAUACACACAUUGACACACCGAGUCUGCCGUCGGUGUUUCAAUGUAUGUAUUAACCGAUGGAUAAAAACUGGAGCUGUCAAGCGAUUAAAAUAUUUAAUCGUGAUUAAUCGCAUUAAUGUCAUAGUUAACUCUAAUUAAUCGCGAUUAAUCACAAAUUAUUUUUCUAUGCUAAAUAUCCCUUGAUUUUUUUGUCCCAUAAAUCUUCUCAUUUUAAUUCUCUUAUCAACAUGGUGAAGUGCAUCGGCUUGCCUUGUGCAAAUGAUUUUUUAUUGAUAACAACAUUGGCAUAUACACUCAUCAAACAGGAUGAUACAAAAAAAGAGCCUAUAGUGCAAUUAAACGACUGCUUUGAACAAAUGUCAUUUGAACAUAGCAGUCAGGCUACUGCUUCUUUGUUUUGAGCCAAAGAAAAAAAAUUUUUUUUUUUUUUUUAAUAUAAAAUAAUUGCGUUAAUCGCGCGAUAAAAAAAUUAACGCCGUUAAAUUUGGUUUGCGUUAACGUCGUUAAUAACGCGUUUAACUGACAGCUCUAAUAAAAACGUCUGUUAAAUGUGUGGGACUAGAGAAUGAGGAAUGAAAAUGAGACGCAUGGAUGUCCACUGCUACACACGAUUGUCUUGUUUUCCACACAGGUUGAGGGAAUUGCCAUUUGUUACAAUUAUUUUGUGAUGAUCGUGUUGUGAUGUAUUUAUAUAGCUUGCUGUUUUUAUAUUGUUUGGUUGUCAUGGGCCAAACCGAAUCAAGUGGAGCUAGCUAGCCUUGUCACUCUUCUGUGGGGCUAACGCCACUGACGCAGCCUUUGUUUUAAACAAGUUUAUGCCAACAAUCAAUGAACAGUGCCCCACUGCUGAGGGAAGUUUGUGUUAAUUGAAUUACCAUGCCAUCCACAACCUCGCCCCCAAUCUGUCCGACCUCGUCCUUAUUCCCACUCCAUCUAGCCCUUUCAGAUCCGCUUCCUCCAUACAUCUGUCUGUCCACUCUGACCGUCUCACCACCAUGGGGCACAGGGCGUUCAGCCCCUCUUUUUCUCUUUCUAAUGACUUUUUGUACCUUUUGUACGUGUCCUUGAGUGAAGAGAAAGGCACCUUCAAAUAAAAUGUGCGUCCUCUAAAGGUGCCUAUUUUUGCCAAUGAAUUGCUCAGAUUAUGUUUUAUCAUAAUUUGGCCAAAUAUGGGUAUAUCUAAUUUAAUUCUAAUCCCCAAGUGCUGCUUUUUCAACGUGCUUUAUUUGCUAUGAGACCAACGAUGUAUAAAAGUUGUUUCUGUACCUUUUGGUUGAUCUGGUCUGUUUGUUAUUGUUUCCUGCGCCCAUAUUUAGUACUCCAUAAGGCAUGCCUAUUUACAAUAAUAAUAAGGAAACCACGU
ensembl:lncRNA